UACGGAGGGUGCAAGCGUUAUCCGGAUUCACUGGGUUUAAAGGGUGCGUAGGAGGGCAGGUAAGUCAGUGGUGAAAUCUCCGAGCUUAACUCGGAAACUGCCGUUGAUACUAUCUGUCUUGAAUACCGUGGAGGUGAGCGGAAUAUGUCAUGUAGCGGUGAAAUGCUUAGAUAUGACAUAGAACACCAAUUGCGAAGGCAG
rnacentral:rRNA from 1 species